CAGUCGCCGCGGGAAUACGUAGGGUGCGAGCGUUAAUCGGAAUUACUGGGCGUAAAGCGUGCGCAGGCGGUUUUGUAAGACAGGCGUGAAAUCCCCGGGCUCAACCUGGGAAUGGCGCUUGUGACUGCAAAGCUAGAGUGCGACAGAGGGGGAUGGAAUUCCGCGUGUAGCAGUGAAAUGCGUAGAUAUGCGGAGGAACACCGAUGGCGAAGGCAAUCCCCUGGGCCUGCACUGACGCUCAUGCACGAAAGCGUGGGGAGCAAACAGAAUUAGAUACCCGUGUAGUCCCUGUCUCUUAUAC
rnacentral:rRNA from 1 species